UACAGAGGGUGCAAGCGUUAAUCGGAAUUACUGGGCGUAAAGCGCGCGUAGGUGGUUAGUUAAGUUGGAUGUGAAAUCCCCGGGCUCAACCUGGGAACUGCAUUCAAAACUGACUGACUAGAGUAUGGUAGAGGGUGGUGGAAUUUCCUGUGUAGCGGUGAAAUGCGUAGAUAUAGGAAGGAACACCAGUGGCGAAGGCGGCUUUCUGGACCAAUACUGACGCUGAGACGCGAAAGCGUGGGGAGCAAACAGGAUUAGAAACCCGUGUAGU
rnacentral:rRNA from 1 species